GGUUGACCUCGGAUCAGGUGG
rnacentral:rRNA from 1 species